GAGGCGAGCGGCCGGGCGAGGGGAGCCGCGGAGAGGGGUCGCGCAUUCCAGAGAGGCGCCGGCCAGUCUGCGGCACACCUGCGCGUUCGGUUGAAUCACGGCGCCUCCGACAUAACCCAAUCUCUUCGUCCUUCUUCAGCUGGCCGCUUCGUCCGAGCCGGCCGUUCGGUCCUCGUCUCUCUCUCUCUCCCACCGUCUCGUCCUUCUGCUCUUUCUCUGUUUCGUCCCACGAAGCGCCUUUCUCCGUCUUUACCGCGCUGAUGUAAGCCGUCUCCGUCCAACGCGAGACCCGUAUUCUCCUCCUCGUCUUACUCCCAGAAUCUCUUUCUUCGUCCACGUUGCUCGCUGCGCCAAAGCGAGCAUCUCUCUCCCACGCGUGGUAAUCACGCGUCUUCUCUCCUCCUCUUCGUUCGAAUCUUGUUGACUCCUCGAGAGUUCCCCGAUUCUGUCCCUCUUCUUCCACCGUCUUCGCUUAGAUUUUCCUAACGAUUUCUAUGCCCCGUUCUCUCUCUCUCUUUCUCUUUCUCUUUCGUGGCCCUCUAGCCACGGAAGAGAACCGAUCAGACCCUGAGAAAGGGACACGAUACGAGAGAGAUCGUGGAACGAAACGCACAGCUGUAAGCGUGACAGAGAGAAUGGAAAAGGAGACUCCGAAGGACCGAUCUUACGUACAAUCGGAGGCGUGCAGGUGUCCGUCGUUCGUCCGACGGUCGGCACGUCUGUCAGUGCCGCAAUCUAAGCCGCGCCGUGUCGGGGCCCGGACUAGCGAAGGCUACGAGCGGACACCUGUUUUUCUUGGAAGCACCUGUUUUGUGUUACGGCCCUGCGGAACCGCCCGGCUGCGGCUCAACAGGCCCAACGCGAACUUCUUUUUUCGCCGGACGGGAGAACGUGACAGGAAUCCGUAUUUUCUUUCCGCAACAUUUCUCCCUGGCUUACGGUAUAAUCGAUAAUGUUUGCAUCGACGCGUGGUCAUCCACCGUAGCUACGGGAUUAGCCUUUCUCUCUCUCUCUCUCUCUCUCUCGGUUGUGGAUAAGGCGCCUCCAUUGUGCAAAAAGCUGUCGUUCAAAUGCGUUUUCGUUGUUCGAAGCAGUGAUGGUAUUAAAUGGAAUAUUUUGCGCGUGCUUUUACUUGUUGUAUAUGCUUGUCAAUUGUUAUUGGUGAUAAGAAAGAGAAACCGCUUUUCUCGUAUGAAAAAUUGAAUAUUCGUGUGUAAAGAAUAUUUCAGGGAAAAAUAUUGUUCCAUAAACAACGAUUUAUCGCGUGGUACUUUUUCAGAAUAUAGCAUUAUGAUUGUAUGAAAAACAAUUAUUCAUUGUGCACCACUGCAAAAUAAAUUUCUAUUAAUGUGAGUUUGUCAUGCGAUACUUAUACUUCUAUACAAGUUACAAUAUUACAAGUUGUAUUCGUUUUAUCAAUUUAUUUCCAAUUGUACGACUGACAAUUAUCUGUUUAUAUGCGAAUAUGAAAUUUGAAAUUGUAAGUAAGAUUUACUGUUGAUGCGAAUAAUUGUGUAGUAAAGUAAGUCAAAGGAAAUGACAGUUUAUGUCUAUUGUAAUAGCAUAUAGUUAUAUUUCCAUUUUUAACAGUUUAAUUUGCGAAAUACAAAAUAAGUAUCUCACGUUUUAUUACGUAUCUAUCAAUUACGAAUAAUUGCAUAAUUUAUUCUUAAUGUGAAAAUUCACAUAGUUUGAAAUCUAAAUGGUAAUAAAUUAAGGAGUAAUACGAUACAUACGUUAAAGUCGCAAACAAUUCCAUAAAAUAUUUUCUCUUUUAAAUCAUAUUUUCUCUACACUUUACAUCGUUCUAUCGUGCUACAUUCUAAUAUCUUUGUAUUUUUGAACUUUAACCUUAAUCAGCAUGAAUACGAACAAACAUUAGUGCACACAAUAAUAGAUUAAUUACAGAAAUAAUAUUUGAAAUUCAUUUUUCUUUUCUUAUAAACGAACAUAUUCAUUCGGUAAUUCCCACGAUUCUCCAAGUUUCAGAAACUUAAACUUUCUCAGAUUAUGAAUAUAUCUAAGUACAUUACAUUAGAUUCAAAUCAAAAUAACAGCAAAUUAAUUAAUCGAAAAAUCAACAAUCGUGUUUAUUCCCGGUUUCGAUGACUUAAUAUACACGAUAAUUCAACAUUCGUUUCAUAGUAGUAAUAGUCUCCAAUAAGGCAAAUUCUUCGACUCUAAUCAAUACAAAAUGAAACAGGCGCCUCAGUAUCAGACUAAUUGCGAUAUUAAGACGCCACCGAUAAACACGUAUCACGUUUCAUAACUCUCGUUACAUCUACCCAGCUUCCCGGAAGCGAAGUAGCACUGUCUCAAUCAUGUAUCGCGAUAUGCAUUACGUAAUGCUAAUCUCGCUACGGCGGGGAGAGCAGCGCGACUUUUUUUUCCUCUCUUUUUUUUCCUCGACUUCUCUCCUUUCGACGAUCAUCUCUUCUCGCACGGUCGAAAUAUCUUUUUUCUUCGUGCGAAGCAGAACUAGAGCAAGCGGACGGGAACAGAGAGGAAACGUGAAAGGAGACUCGCACGGUUUACGCGAAGAACGCGACCGGGCACGAUAAUCCUGCCGGACGUGAGAGACCUGAGACUCAUUCAGUGACGUGGGAACGUGUGCAGAUACCAUUCAUAAGUCGGCCGUAGCGUGUGUGAGACAGGCCCCUAUUGAACGUGUGCCGUGGAAAAAUCGUUUUUCCCGAGAAAUUCGAGAUAAAAAUGUAACGUUGGAGAAAUAAAUAAAAUUGGAAUCUCCUUUUUUAAUCGUUUUUGAUGAUUAUUUAUAACGGAAAUAUAUUUUCUUAGUACUUUUUUUUUUUUAAAGAAGAUGGAACGGAAGUACAAGUAUGACAAUUUCGCGAGAAAAGGAAUAUAUUUGUAUUUAUAUCUAUGAAAUAUUGUUCGAGAAAUUAUGGUAAUAAUUAAAGUAUUAAUAAUUUAUAUUUUCUACAUUUCUAUCGUCAUUUUACGAUUCGUACUCAAUGGUAAUUCGGAUUGACUUUUCCUCCGAAUCCGUUGAUCGUCGCGACUCGAUGGCGACUUAAAGCCAUUGCUCGAUUCGCUCGAGAGAGCCAUCGGGACACCCGCAGCCUUUCCUUCAUGGCUCAAAACGAGUGUCGUGGGAUUCGUGGGAGCCUGUUUUCCGUUCCAGCCUUGUUCCAUCGCGACCACGGACCCCCACGCCGUUGUUUUAUUGUUGGAAGACCGCGAGGGAGAGCUCGAAUUUCUGCUAAGAUUGGAGAACGCGCCUUAGGCGACACCGUUCGUUAGAUCCUCCUCCUCCCCCUCCUCAGGUGUGCUGCAGAGAAACUUAAAACUCGUUCUUCGAAACGAUCGUUCUUUGCUUAUCUCAUUUUAUUCCCCAAUUAUUAUCGAAUUCUUUUUUUCACCUCUUGAUAUCUAUCGAGUGAUAGAUUCCUCGUUGAUCGUUUCGAAUUUCAAAUUGAAAAGUAUAAAUCAGCUUAAUCGUGACUUUUGUCGCGAUAAUGAUAAUUUGAUAAGGAUAUCCAUUCGGUGCAUUGACUCGACGUAAACCCGUCACGAGUUGCUUUGUCAUUUCCUUUCACCAUUUUGCGCAGAAAAAUGUUUAUUACGUAAUUAACACAAGGUACAAGCGGAAUUACAUUAUAUACUGUUUGGAAAAAAUGUAUGAAAAAUUCACACGAUAUUUAAAUAGUACGAAUAAUCGUUAAUUAAUCUUGCCUUUGGUUAGAUAGAAGGAUAAUUUUCUUUUUUACCUUACUCUCUCCCAUUUAAAAGUAAUUGUAGAAAAGUUCAAAGAGUGAAAAUUUUAUCAACGGGUGUGCAAGUCGAUCUAAAUUAUUUUCUAUAUAGGUUCUAAAAGACAGACAGGACGUGUCCAGCUUUCUCUGCGUCGAACCACAGUUGCGUUCUGGUGAAAGAAAGAAGUUUUUUUUUUUUUUUUUAAUUUAAUACGACGCAACGAUCGAAACGUGUUCUUUCGCUACAAUCAGGUUGUAAAACGAUCAGGUUUACAGCAUUAUGGAAAGAGGAUAUGUUACAAAGAAUUCGAGAAUGUGUAAAAUAAAAUUUGCAUAUCCCAAUUAUAUAUGAAUCGUAUAUAUUCGACGUCACCUAUCAAUAUUCGACUAACGUAACUAUUGUCCCUCGAAUGUAAAUUCCGUGUUUAAUAUUCCGAGGAGAGACCGCCAUUUUCAGGUCGAAAUCUUGUCUACGAAUGAAAUCAAUCGUGAAAACGCGAAACAAAAAAAAAAAAUUUUUGAAUUUGACAAUUUAACAAAAGGAAGAAUUUAUAUUAGGAAGGCAACGAGAUUUCCACUUUACCCAUCAUAUUUGUGGAUGUGGACAAAAUUCGACGAUUUUCUGUCCAUUGUUCGAUACGUACAAUAACCUGUUCCAAAUAGGUAGGACGAUUAUUAGAUUUAUCGCAGGUGGCAAAUUAAGCGUAAGACUCGAUCGAGGUGUCGUUGAAGUCGCGUUCUGUUACAUAACGCGAGAGAAACGCGUUUCCAACCAGGGACAAUGAUCGCAGAUGUUUCUUCCUUGCAACAUCGUCCUUCCCUGAAACGCGAAUCUAAGGGUACAUUUUUUGAUCUACAUCUGCGCUCAGUGGGGCCCUGGAAACCUUGAACUUCCUGAGGCAGGGGGUCCCUGAGAAAAUUCGUGUGUUCGUCCAGGUGUUGCGAGAGUCUAACACCUGGAGAUUCUCGAGUUUACCGUUAUAUUUGUGCCCCUUUAUUGUACAACGUAAAUUGCCACCACCUAGAAACGCUAUCUAACAACAGCAUCGAUGAAACGAAUCUCCAACCUGACCAACCUUACCAACGAUCCCGUCACGAGUUUCGUCGCGAGGCCAGCAUCCCAUCCAUCGAUCCCUGAACAACAAACGAAUAAAAAGAAAGAAAAGAAUCAUAACUCUGCUCCAACUCGACAUUCCGUUGCCUCGUUAAACUCGAUUUUCCGGAUCGUUUUAUUAUCGCCACUCGAUCGCCAGCCUACCAGGAAACGGGUACUUGUUUCGGGGUAUUACCUUGGAGCAUUGGAGAAAAUCCUCGGUGUUUACCUCGGCCAGGUGUCCCGCGAAUUAUGUGCCUGGUUUACUCGGCGCACCGGGGCCUCGACGGGGCCGCGGCUUUCCUAUUUGUAAUUAAUGAAAUGCUUUAAAAGACACCUGUGCGACCAUCUCUGCCGCACAGGUGGCAGGCUGGUUAUACGGCGAUAAAGGCUGGGCUUGUACAGGUGCGCGGCGCAGGUACUCACAGCCACUCUGAAUCGGGAACUGGCACCGGUGUGCGGUGAAACCCCGUCACAAGCGACAACGAUGACCGUUUUGGUGAUUACACGCCGUCCACAGGCCGAGACUUAUCGCUCGUUUAAAGAUUAUACGGGCUCCCCUCGUGUCAGGCCAGCUGACAAAAGACAGAAUUCGCCGUGACGUUCUGAUUGAACAACAGUUGGCGAAAUUGCAAACAAUCCAUCGAUCUGAAUUCUCUCAACACCGAAAAUUAUAUAUAUAUAUAUUACGAUGCGAUUUUGUGGAUUAUUUUUUUUUUUUUCGAGAAAUUUAUAUACAUGAGUUUAUCCGUAGAGCGAAGAUCGUGAAUAGGAUAACGUUCGAAAGGUUAAAAGGUAAAAGUGUCGGGCAAGUGAGAUAUAUAUAUAUAUAUUUAUCACAUGUAAUUACAAGGCUGUUAAUUUUAUUAUCCAGCCGGGCGAUUUGUUUUUAGCGGGGAUUAUUAUUGUUAACGUGGCUGUUCCCCAGCUGUUUAUCGUGUUAACAAAUAUUUGUCCUUUCGUAACGCGUGAUGAGUAUUCGGCACCGAGCUCGCAAACGUAAGAUAACAGAGGGCUUGGAGGGCAAUAUAAUAAAUAAUGGUGCAAGGGAUAAUUAGGCAGGAUAGUUUGCUCAAAUGGUUUAAUGCAUCUGCGAGACAUACCUCUCGUGUUGGAACUCUGAAUAUGCGGCAUAAGUUAAAUCCCUUAGGGAGAUAUUACCGGCAUAAAUACUUCUGUAAGCAUUUCUUUCUUCCAUCCUGGCCCUUUCACCCUCCCCCCUCUUUUCUUCGGAGAAAGAAAUUUCUCGAGAAGAGACUUUUCCCUUUUGUGCACCAAUCCGGAAAAUACAAUAUCCUUUGAUACCGUCAAAACGCCAUAUGGGCCGUUUAUAGGCGAGCGUGUAGGCAUACCUUGUGAAAAAUCUGGUGUGCAGAUUUUUAUUAUCUUUUGGGGAAAACCCAAGCGUGAACGUAAGUAAUUCCAAAUGUCGCACAUUAGCAUCCGUUCCAAAAUUUUGGAAACAAAAUGUUGGCAGAUGUGAGAACGAGCACCGAACAUGUGUCAAACAUGCUUUGUUAUUAACCGAGAGCUAAGCCAUAGCUGGAAGACAUAUGUUUUGACAUUUGUCUCGAGGAUAUUAAAUUAUCGGGAAGCGAAUAAUAUAAAAUCGAAUAUUUCGUUAGUUUCCUCUAACGAGGAAGCGAUGGAUUUCGAAACGAAUUUGAUUAACAUUGCUUUCCACGUCCCCCCUCUAAAGGAUAAGGAAUAAAGAUUAGAAAUUUCGUAUUAGAGAAGUUAGACGAUAUUACGAGCGUUUAUUACACGCUGAUUCACCAGAUUAUCCGGGUGAAUGAUUUAUGAGAGGACCGGUAAUUUCGUCCUAAACUUACUUACGGUUCCUUGUCAACGCAACGAGAUCCGUGACCGAAUCAGGUAGCUGAAAAAUUCCAAGUGUCGGUAUGCAGCUGCAGCUUUUCAAAUAUUAUCCUCGGUAUAAUGUAUAACGGGAGAAUAGUUUAUUUCUCCAUCACAAUGUCAUUAUACAUUUGACUGGUAACGGAUCGAUGGAUCUUUUCGCCGUGCGAUGAAUGCCCGCAUAGUUUUCCGUAAGUUCUCAGCAAAAUUUCAAAUGUUUCCAAAUCUGUCCUAUUGAAAAAUUUGAAAUAAACGAGCGCUUGUUGAAAAAUUCCUUGUUAAAUGAUAUCUCCGCGACGCCAUUUUUUUUCGCCCGACCUCCUCGAAGGACGACCCGUUUCACCGACCGAAAUGAGCAACCGGCUGUAAAAGUGGACAUUCACGUCCUCCUCGCGUGUCGUCUUCGAGACAAUCCGCGUUUCACCGAGCAGCGUUUGACACCCGGGGAGGAAAAUUCGCCGAGGAGUGGAAAAAGAAAACGAUCGCUUAAGCAGGUCGAGAGUGUAUUAAAAAAAGAAAAAAAAAAGACUCGACAGACUCGGACACCUGCCCGGUUUCCUGUGUGCCAGAAACCGUGGAAAAAGGGGGGAGGGGAGACGAAACUCGCGUUCCGUGAUUUUCAUCGCAGUGUCCGCUUUUUGCUUGUUUUGCUUGUCCGUCUCUCGAAGGACAUCCUGUUUUCACGUUUCGAGGCGAGAGAAGUAGUUGCCCCAGAAGGAGGAAUUAUUUUUAUUAUCGAGGAUGCCGGGGUUUAAAAUUUUCUCAACUCGAAACGUGAAAGUGGAGUUUAAAAUGUUAUAACAUACGUACAUACAUAUUUUUGUAACGAUGUUUGGGAUUUUUCGUUUCGCUUAUUGUUCGAUGGAAAUUUGAUGGAAAUAGGAGGAAUUUCGAAUUGGAGAAAUUCUCUUUUCCUCGACUCGCUUCGCAGGUCGUGACGAGACGAGACACGUUUAUCUCGCCACAUGGCCAUCCAGCAUCUUCAAGGUCCUGUAUUUAUGAACCCUUCAUCGUCGUCGGCACACGCGAACCGAAACAACGUCAUUAAUCUAUUCGAUUUAGCCGCAGUUUUAACCGAGACUCUACCACCUGUUGGAAGUGUUAUUACUUGCUACAGACCAUAACCUCGCUACCUGUUGAUAACGACAUGGCAUAACGAAUUAUUCCUUUGCUCUAAUAUCCGAUCCGACUAGCUACGCACGAUGAGUGUACGUUAUCGAGUUGAUCGAGCCAUGUAUCGAGAGAAAAAUACCGUUAACGGCACGCUCGGGUGUUAUUUUGUUGUUUAAAAGUAAUUAAAGAGACCAGAGAUUUAUAAGAUGAAUGAACGUGCUCUUCGUGAAACGAGAUUAACUCAAAAUUAAAGAGAGGAAAAAAAAAAGGAUCGAAUCGCUAUUAUUAUUUUAUCAUUUAACAUUAAAAGAAUAAGAAUAAGAAGAUGCACACUUUUCCGUUCGACAAUUAUUCGAGAUUUAAUAGAGAGGGAUAACGAAAUUUAAAUUUAAAUCGAAUAUGCAUUCGGUCAAUCGAUAAUCCAAUAAUCCAUGCGUCCAUUUCCACGGUAUACGUAGCCAGCCAAAAACCGUCACUCUGCCAAACUUAUCGUCCUUCCUCCCUCUCCGAAAAACGGGGCACCGCGCCAACUUUCCCCCAUAAAUCCAUCAAUCCCUCGAAUCCACCUGAAACCAUUACCAGCCCAACACCGCGUCCUAAACUCGGUGCCCAAGCACGUUGCCAACAACUACCGAGAUGUUGUUCCUCGUAACCCAGCCAGCUGCCUCUGUUUCUCCGCAACGGAGCCGAAUUUUCAUUUAAAAAGAGAAAAAGAAAGAAAGAAGAAGAAAGAAAGAAAGAAAAAGAAGGAAAAAGCAAAAACCUCCUCUUUUGGUAGGCGUGAGCGGUUUCGUUUCGCAGCCGUGCGCUACGCUACUACUACCUGUUGUACGAGCGCGCAGCAACGAGAGAGGGCAGAGAGAAAGAGAAAUAGAGAGGAAGAGAGAGAGAGAAGGUGCCGCGGGGGCCCCUUCUUCCCUCGGCUGGAGAGCAGCCGGCGGGGGGCAGAGUCGGAGGGGGCCGCGAUCUCUGGGUCCUCCUGCGGGGGCAGGGGGAGUGGGGCCGAAGAAGGGUCCACGGCGAGAUGGAGGGGACCAUGGCGACAGACUGGCGGCCGCGCACCUGCACUCGCUCGCCGAGUGAGCCGACAGUCAGGGCCGCACCUACCGGCUAAGACCCAGCUCCCCUUCCGCCAUCGGCCUCGGGACACAAAUCGGCCCAGUGCAUUCCCCGUGUCCUUAUCUCCCACCGAGAGCCGCCACCGAAAAGGUCAUGCGUCCGAUUCCACCGGAUUAUAUUACCUUUUUCGCCAUUCCUUUGCUUUCUUUUCUUUUCUUUUUCUUUUUCUUUCGUUCGCACAGCUUUCUCCCGAUUAGAUCGCUCGUUGUUCGGCGAAACGAAGGACGAUCCGAAACGAACGAAGUCUCUGCUUUUGCCGCUGUGAUAGAGUAAUUUUGAGAGAAGACCGGCCAAGAUCACUUUAGAGAAGCUGGUGUGUAGACCCGGUUUCGGAGAGAGAUGUAAUCGUAAGAUAUAAAAGUAUAAUAAUUUUUCUCGUUCUUCUUGCAAGUUAUUAUUAUACCAGGAUAUAACGUUUUGAAAAAAGUAAUUAUAUUUUCGUUCACCUUAUAGAUUUUAUAGUUGUUUAGAUUCUUUUUAUUUUAUUUUUUUCUUUUUUCUCUCUCUAAUGAAUAUGAUGACUAUAAAGAUUAGUACAAUUUGUGCGUAUGUUAUGUUUUAAGCUGAUCGACUAUGCGGUUUCCUUAUAAAUCGAGUAAUCAAGUUAUAUUUUAUAAUUGCAAGGUGAUAAAUAAAUUGCAAUAAUUUUCAAAACUACCGGUUCUUUACCGGAUACCUCGAACGAUAUGAUAAUAUGCUUGUUAUGUAAAUAAGGUGAAUUCGAUUACAAAUGAGCAUUCGAUAAAAAAAAGGUGGGGGGGAAUUAGAGGUAGAAAGUUAGAUUUAUUCAUCUGAAUAUAUAAUCGCGAUUACGUUAGUCCAAAAUUAAAUCGAAUUACGAAAUGUACGUUCAACGUUCUUGUUAAGAUUCGAAGUAAACUCUUUCCGGAUGUAAGUAAAGACGUAAGUUAUUUCAGUUCUGAUCAAUUUUUAAUACGAUUUAAUAGCGACAAGAGAGAGAUUGGUAUUUAAAACGUCAUUGAAUGCAAUCGAGCAUCGAUAGCAGGUUUAAAAAAAACGCCAUUGUCGAACGAGUUGUUUUCAGCCCAUUAUUUAUUCCACAUGUUCGAGUCGCGCUAUCUUAAAAACAUCCGGUGUUAUUCCAACUCUAAUAAUCGUUCGAUGCUAUCAUUUUCUAAUCGAAUAAGUAAUAAAGUAUUCCACGCGACAGAAAAAUGAAUUUCAUUCCUCAUUUGCGCAAUCGACUCGAGAAAAACUAAUUUCUUAAUUACUUCUGCUCACAGUUCCAGAGAAAUGUUUUAUUAAAAAAAAAAAAGAAAGGAGAAAUAAGAAAAAUGAAUCGAAACCGGAAGAUUUAUUUUCUUGAUGAUUCGAGUUGUUAAUAGAUGCUAUCGCAACAUGUCUGUGCUAUUCCUAGCACAGGUUAUGGAUAUUAGAUUUCAUGUAUUUCAGAUCGAUCUUUAGACGUUCGAUCGAUAAAUAACACCUUGCAAGGUAUUCAUAUUCUUCACUUUUUGCCUUUUUUUUUAUCUAUGUUUCCUUGAAUUUAUUCAUCGUCGUUUAAAAAUAUCUUUUUCCUUUAGCAUUCGUGCAAAGAUUUUUACAUUCAUAAAAGUUUUCUUCACUACCGGUAUUCAUUUUUAAAAUUCUUUUGCCAUUCGAGGAGAAAAGAAAUGAAAAGAAUCCUCUUCAGCAACUUUAUGAGCCGGAACACCUGGAACUUGGAACCUUCUUCGUUUGAUUUUUUUCUUUUUCUUUCAUCCACGAAAGUCUCCUCAAUUUCUAGCAGCUUCUUCUGGUGAAGAAACUCUUUUCUCGGAUGUUUAGAGCGGAACGGUGAGGACAGCCGGACGAGAAAGUGCCGUUAAAGUAAUUACUAAUCACGGAUUAUGUUUCCUAUUUCCGUUCCUCGUUUCAUAACUGACGUAUUAUUACAUUCCAGGAUAAAUUUCAUACGUUUAGCGAAUUUUUAAAUUUUUAAAUUUUAAAAUUAAAAAUUAAAAAUUUUUUAUUCAAUGCAACGUUGAAAUUUUACUUCGAUGAUGGAAUUGUAUUACGAUGAAUAUAAAUUGGAGCAAAGAUGUUCGAAACGUGAAUUUAUUCGAAACGCAUCCGUGUAGAUAGCUAGCACGAUCGUUUUCAAUCAGACAGCAAUCGUAAAUUACGAUACUUAAUUAACGUAAUCGGAGUACAACUUUACGAAGUUGUUCGAAACGCCACGUACACGGAGCCUACGCGUGUGUAGGUAGGCCGUGCUGAUAACGCUUAUCUAGCGCGCGCCAACCCGUGGCUGAGUUUGCAUAUCAAUGGGAGUUCUUAAGAAUAGACACUCGCGUGUCGCGUUCAACCGGCACUCACGCGCGUUAAUUCGCGCGAUUACAAGCUGUUGUUGACUCUCGGUCUCGCGUUUCUUUUGCUCCGAUUGCACGAGCGCCAUUCGUAGUAGAAAGGAGCUGAGCUACGAUGAAAAAUCGGUGGAAAUUCAUUCAUCGUUCUCCAGCACGUAAAUUAAACUGUCUGAUCAAACGGAGAGAAAUUUUUAAUAAUUUCGAAUAACAUUUCUCUAAAAAUCUUGCACACUCACUCUGGAUAGCCUACGUUUUCAAUAUUCGAAUUUCACGAGCGCGUAGCAAACGAACUUCCACGUCAAAAAUAGAGAACGAUUUUCUCUCGUUAUCGUCCGGAGGAAAAGGAAACCUUACUAGGCAAGAGCGUGGGAUUAUUGUUCAACGUACGUAUAUGGCCUCGCGGUUAUUCUUAAUAUGACACGUUGAGCACGAGAGAGAAAGAAAGAAAAACGGCAAGCGUUCCCGCUAAUAAACAAUAAUGACACGUUGAACCAGUUCGUAGCGAGCAUCAGAGCUCGCGUGAUAAUUUGCAUUUGGCCGUAAUUGCGAUUCAACGGCGAGCACGCCAACGUUCUCAUCGAGUCAAGCUUCUGCCACUGAUCGGAACUCAUUUUUCGUUCUUACGAAUCUUUCCGUUUUCAACGCUACAAACGAUACAUUUUCAUGCAAACUAUAUUUGCAGCACGGAUUCCUGAAAAACCCAUUUGUCCUUAUACUUUCCCAAUCGGUUUACAGGAAACUUCUUGAUCGAUACGAAACGGAAUGUAAAUUCCUUAAUGAAAAUUUAUUACGAAAAUUACUUGUAGUUUUCAAUUAUCAGUAUUUCCUUCUAUAGUAGCCAAACAACUUAAAAUCUAUUUUCCUUCUCAUACGUAUUUUAAUAGAAUAAAUGUAAAGUAAAUAACAGUGUGAAAUCCAGUAACAAUAUAUUAAAAUAUACAAAUAAUUUUUCUAUGUAAAUAGUCAAAAAUAGGUUUUCGAGGAAUAUCAAUUGUAGAAGUUAGACCGUAAUGGAAAAUCAAUGUAGAGUUUCUAGAAUGCAACGAAAUUCAGACAUGCACACAUACGCGAUAACAUAUUCGUUCUAGAAUACCUCGAAACGAAAGAGGAAACAAAAUGCACCGGUUGCCGGUCGUAAAAGAUCGCUCGUGAAUAUGCAACGAAGCGAAUGCCCCGAGAAGCGAAAUGAGUAAUAUAGGAAAGGUAUAAUGAGUGGCUGAUUAUGAUGUAAGCGGUUUAUCCGAGCGUAAUGAUUCGGGGAGCAGAUUGCAGACCGACGAAUACGCCUUAACUUUCUACCUUUACACCCAUUGUCCGCAGCCAUUGUCGGCCAAUGCGACACGAUUAUUCACCGCUCUCCUCGAUGUCUGACCUUUUCCACGUGAUAUUUAUAAGAUUUGCUACACGACGACCGUGACUUUAGGUGAGGUCGUUAUGCAAAUUAUGCGACCUUACAUUUAUUAUACCUGUUAAGUACCUACGUCGAAUCGGUGUUUCGGCAGUGUAUAACGCCAUUCGAGAAACAGAAGAGCGGAAUGGAUUAGCAUGUAAAAUAGGUUUCCAGGUUAAAAAAGUGCUCGAUCCUUUCAGAUUAGUCAAAGAUACUAUUCGAGAAUUGAUUGAUUUUUGCUCUCGAAAAGUUUGUGUAACACAUUUUGGAAGAGAAUUGUGAUUGGUUGAGAAUAAAAUGUGACACGUAUCAUCGAAUGAAAAUUAAUCGAGUGAAAUUUUUGUUAGCACGUUGGCAGGAAUGUCUUUACACGAUAGGAAGGAAGUGGUCGUAUUUCUAACUGCGAUAGAAACAAGCAUGGAAUUGUCACGUGUUUAACAAGAACGAUAACAGUGCGGAUAUAAGAUUUGUGGAGCAGUGGCUGGAUUUGCAUAUUGGGUCGACAUGAUAUCUUAAUCGUGGUUUACAAUAAAUGUUUAAUGCAUUUCUGAUCAUUUCUAAGACUUUUUAAAAAUAAGCCUAAGUAAAAUGAACGAGUACGCAUGCACUCGAUAUUAGUUAUCGACACGUGGCUAUUAUCGAGCAAAAAUAAGCGUAAUCACCGAUAAUAAUCAUUAAGACUAUAAAAAUGAAUUAUUGAAUUUUGAUUGUUUACUAUCGAUAAUUAUAUAUUUACUAGUCAGAUGGUUAAUAUGAUUUCAAUGAUGUAUGGUAUGUACACAUCUCGAUAUACAUCUCUAUUGCUUUUAUCUUUCAGUUUCAAGUAGAGAGUAAAAAAUUUCAAGAUUAUGUAUCUAUUGCAUCAUUGUACAUUUAUUAUUAGAAAAUCGUUUAAUUUAGUUUCUGCAAUCAAUUGAACAUUAUCGAAAGUCAUUAAUCUUUUAGUUCUAUUGACGAUUAAAUUACAAAGAAUUGAUCGUAGAACAUUGGAACGUGUCCUUGGUGAACAAAAAAAAAAAAACGACGAUACACAAAGAUUAAUUCUCGAUUUAAUCGAUCAAAAUAAUUUUUCACACUUUCAAUUUUCCAUUGUUUGAACACAAUUACAAUUUAUUGAUUUUUCUCAAUUUCAAAUGUAAAAUCUUCUUACAUUGGAAUAAUUUUCUUUUCACGAUUUCUAGUCAAUUUUACGUCAACUUACGACACGCUUGUUCGCAUAUUUUAUCGCGACGAUAAAAAAAUUCGUGAUUCAGGAACACUUACUUUUCACAAGUUUUGAAAUAUAUAUAUAUAUAUAUAUAUUUAUAUAUAUUCGCAAUUUUAGGUGCUUCUGCACUCGUACGGAGGCGACAUUCCUCGAUUGCGUGGAGUUAAUACGACUCGAGGGAGCGAUCGUUUCGUCUUUCGAACACGUGUGUUCUUAUCAGUGGUCAUUUUUUUUUCUCAGGACACGAUAACAGUACUCGCAAAGCGUAAUUUCCGUUCAUGGCUUUUCGAGGAAACUUCGCUUUGCGAAAUUACAUGAUUCGUAAUCACGCUCUUUGUCAAAUGGAAAUUACAUCUCUUACAUAGACAAGCCGCUUUAGAGGAUUUAACGUUUUAAAUAUUCUCCUAUCUUUAAAUUUUAUGCAACGAUAAAUAAUAACAGUAAAACUUUAAUUCUAAAAUAAAGAUUACGAGUAUAAACUAUAAGAAUAACGAACGAUAGUUAAAGUUCCGCGAACUUUUUAAACGCCUUCUCUCCUUUCAUCGUUUUGCCAAAGGUAUAAAAUAUAUAAGCAGACGCGUUAACAAUAGGACGGAAUGAGUUGAAAUUAAAUAGUUACAUAAUAACAUCGAAAACAUCGUUUUUAAGGUACAAAAAAGGAAGGCCGAGGAACACGGUUUAAUGGCGGUGAGCCGGCGUGAAAGGGGGCGCGCAUUUCUAUGUUUUUGUAGAAACCACAAGUGAAUUCGCGGCAACGAUCCGGCGCACCUGCGUUUCGUUUCGCAUGAUAUCACAGCCAUGCGAUAAAUUUUCAUUGCCACGCGUGUAGGAAUAAACUUUUAUUGACCAUUGAACGGUUUGAAUUUAAACGCGCCGCGUAUACGCGCGCAUAACCGCGCGUAACGACUACACACGUAUACGCAACUAUAUCCCCGGGUUUAAAGGACUAUGAAUGUCUAGCACUAUCGUUUAAGAAAAUAUGUCGUUUAUGUUUCGAACGAUUACACGAGUGGUCUACGCGAGAAAAAAUUUCAGACAAAUUGAAUGUGUGUAAUUUGUAGAGAUGGGAUGCUUGGAAUCCUUGAAAUCCGCCGAAAAAAUCCGUUCUCCAAAAACAUUUUCCUAUUUUUUGCGAUUCGAAACUUUGAGGUUAGGCGAAGAAUAAUUUAUAUAAAGAAAUAUUUAUCUCGAAAAAUACUUUGAAACAAGAAUACCGCAUGAUGUUCAUCAAAACGAUGUCAAGAAUAUAUCCUGCGGUAAUCGUAAGUCACUUUAUUCAAAUGAGUCGAAACUAGUAUUUAUUGAACGUGCUAUAUAAAGUGCACUUAAAAAAAACAUAUGUGUCAAACCAUUUGAAUUUCUAACACGAGAAGGUGUGACCAUCGUUAAUGCGAUAAUAAUUAUGACGUGCAAAGUUGAAUCCAUGAAUCAAUGGUACUAAUGCGCAAGUACUUAUCAAAGCGAAAUUAAAUGUUGAGAAUGUACUAUGUAACUUGGGUUAUUUUUAUAAAUAAUUUUAUAUUCAAUUUUUUAAACGCAUUGUAGGAAUAAAAUAAAUAAGCUAUUUAAUA